rnacentral:lncRNA from 1 species
UUUCCUUUGAUCAGAGUGUUUAUCUUCUUAUAACAGGAGGUAAGUGAUGCUCUUGAACAUGUUUUUAUGUUUUUUGAAGGUUUUAUGGGAGUUAUGGAAGGAGAUGCAUGCUUAGGUUAUAAAUGAUAGUUUUGAUGAUUUAUGCAUGUAUACAUGUUUAUGUGUGAUGUUUGUUUUGUUGUUUGGGGUUAUGAGAUAGUUUUGGACCCCUGUGAUCAUAUACAUGAGUAUAUGUGUGUUGAGGAGUUGGAGUAUAUAUGGGUUGAGUGGUUGAAGGGAAGGAGGAGAUGGUUUGCCGUUGAAGCUGAGUUCUGGAUGAACUCAGGUUCGGCAGCCGAAGGUGCAUUCGGCCGCCGAACCUCUUGCAUGGUAGCUUAGGCUGCCACAGCUUGCCCCCGCGAGUUGUGCAUGUUCGGCUCUGUUUGGGGGAUUCGGCCGCCGAAGGUGCAGCCGAAGGUGCUUGAGUUUCGUCUCUGGAGAGGACAUUCGGCCGCCGAACCUGCCGCCGAAAGUGUUUUGUCCAGCUUUCCUUUGCUUGCUUUGCAUGACUAUUCGAGAGAGUUUUAGGGGAUUCUUGGGGAGUUUAAAUAGAGUUAGUCAUAAGCUAGUUUGGUCCCUCAUGUGCGUUUAUCUGGAUAGGUACAGACCAGAGGAACCAGAGAGAGCAGCAGUGAGUACUUCUCCAGAGAUUCAGAGCCUGCAGAGUCAGUCAGUCCCCGAGGUGAGUGGAACUAAACUUAUGACUUUUAAUUGAACUACAAACUGCUUUUGAGCAUAUCUCAUGCAUCAUGUUUAUGCCAUAGGUUGAUUGCAUUAGUAUUCACGAAUAUGUUGCAUUGCAUCGUUAUUUGAUGAUGUGAGUAAAUGCUGAAUGAUCCAAUAGUCUCAGACAGGAAGUCCAGGAGCCUUUGACUACGCCCUGGAAGGUAUAGCAAAGUCCAGGAGCCUUUGACUACGCCCUGGCAAUGGUAAGUACAGAGGUGUUAUAUACACAUAUACAUAUAUGAC